rnacentral:miRNA from 1 species
GGUGCAGUGCUUUACCUCUGG